rnacentral:rRNA from 1 species
AUUGAACGCUGGCGGCAUGCUUUACACAUGCAAGUCGAACGGUAACAGACCGCAAGGUGCUGACGAGUGGCGAACGGGUGAGUAAUGCAUCGGAACGUGCCCAGUCGUGGGGGAUAACGCAGCGAAAGCUGUGCUAAUACAGCAUACGAUCUGUGGAUGAAAGCGGGGGACCGUAAGGCCUCGCGAGAUUGGAGCGGCCGAUGUCAGAUUAGGUAGUUGGUGGGGUAAAGGCCCACCAAGCCGACGAUCUGUAGCUGGUCUGAGAGGGCGACCAUCCACACUGUGACUAAGACACGGCCCAGACUCCUACUGGGGGCAGCAGUGGGGAAUUUUGGACAAUGGGCGCAAGCCUGAUCCAGCAAUGCCGCGUGCAGGAAGAAGGCCUUCGGGUUGUAAACUGCUUUUGUACGGAGCGAAAAGGCUCUCUCUAAUACAGGGGGCUCAUGACGGUACCGUAAGAAUAUGCACCGGCUAACUACGUGCCAGCCGCCGCCGUAAAAC